GCAUUCGUAGUGUAGUGGUCAGCACGCUCGACUCGUAUUCGAGAGGUCCGUGGUUCGAGUCCUGGCGAGGGGU
rnacentral:tRNA from 1 species